UCUAAGGCUGUGCUCCGCUCACCAUCCAGAGCGGAGGUGCGGACCUUAAACUCACUCCUGGAGAAAGAUCAGCAAGUGCUCAGAGAGAAGACUGGCAGUGGAGCAUGCAUCUGGAGGGCAGAGACGGCAGGCAGUACCCCGGCGCGCCGGUGGUGGAGCUCCUGCAGACGUCCGUGCCCACUGGACUCGCUGAACUUGCGCCGGCAAGCGCAGGCUUCCUCGGGGAGCCGGUGGGGCUGACCCCUCGCACUCCUGCCCCAGCGGGGCUGCCGGGCAGAGCUCCUGUGCUCCUGCAGGCCAGGAGUUUGCUUCAUUCCUCACAAAAGGGAGAUUUCAUCGUUUCUUGGAUGUCAACAGCCACAAAAUAGAAAAAACAAUCAAAGGAAUUUAUGAAAAAUUUGUCAUUCAUUCUGAUCUUAGCAAAGCUGCUAGUUGGAAGAGAUUAACGGAGGAAUUUCUAAAUGCACCACUUCCCAGUAUAAAGGAAAUAAAGACUGAGUGUCACUUUGUCGCCCAGGCUUGGAGUGCAGUGGUGCAGUCUCGACUCAUUGCAACCCCCACUUCCCAGAUUCAAGUGAUUCUCCUGCCUCAGCCUCCCGAGUAGCUGGGAUUACAGGUGCCCACCACCAUGCCCAGCUAAUUUUUUGUAUUUUUAGUAGAGACAGGGUUUCACCAUGUUGGCCAGGCUGGUCCCGAACUCUUGACCUCAA